rnacentral:lncRNA from 1 species
UUUUUAUUGCUUUUGAAGAAAAAAGGAAAACUAUUUGACUUAAGUGUAGUUCUCUUGGUUUUAUCUUUUAAGAUUAUGUUUUUUUAUAAUAGGAGGUUGGUGCCACAGUCUAAAGAACCGAGGUACCAUUAGAAGAGCAAAUGCAUAUAAAUAAAGUAGUACUUGCUUUGUGAGAUAGUUAUGAGAAGUGAUAUGACUGUGGAACAUAUUUUUUUGGUGGUGCCCAGUCUAUUUUUAGGGCUAAUGGAAGUUUUUUUGGGAUUGAUCUCCUAAAAACAAGACAUAAUGUAAAAAAGUUAGACUUAAUUGUCCCCUUGUUAUCCAUUUUAUGCAUUGACAUUGAUUUAAGCAUUCAACACAUAUCUCUUACAUUGUAUGUGACUUGGGUACAUAAGGAGUUGGACAAAGGAUAUAAGUCAUAGGUUUCUUGUAAGUAGAUAAGUUGUCCAUAGUUAGUUCAUGGAUUUGGGCAAUCCAGUUAAGAUUGUAGCGCACUACAUCCUAAUUGGAAGGAUAACUUAUCUUAGUCGUUGGAAUGGGUUUCCUAUGGUGAGUGCACUAAUGUAUGAGAUACACACUGGACAGGGCCUACAAUGAAUCUAUUAGGAUAAAACCCUAAAAAACAUGACAUGAUGUAAUAAACUCUUGGAUUUUAUUUGUUUAAUGAAGUUCCAAUUCACUUUUAUCUAUCCUAUUUCCAUGCAUUAUAUCUUGUAAGCACUUUAGCCUGCAUCUUUUGCAUUGUAUGUGACUUAGGUGCAUUAGGAGUUGCAUAGAAGAUCCAAUUCAUGAGAUUCCUUGCAAAUAGAUGACUUGUUCAUAGUCGGUUCAUGGAUCUAAACAACCUAUUAGAGGCUAUAGUGCACUACCUUCUAAUUGGAGGGAUGACUGAUUAUGGCUAUCGAGAUGGGUUUUCCAUGGUGAGUGUACUAGUAUGUAUGGUUACACAUUUGAUAGAACCUACGAUGAGUCAUAACUUAAGGUUAUCAAGUAGUCACAACCUCACCAAGUUGUUUCAUUAUGUUGUCUCUCAACCUUGAGAGAAUAUUGAGCUUGUGUUGAAACUAAUAGUGGCUUUGACCUAAGAGUGAGAUCCUAAGCUGAUCAUAUAUUCCCUAUAGAUUGGGUUACUUUUGAUAAAAAGAAAAUUAAGAAAUUCCUUGAUAAAAUGGUGAGUUGGUAAUUUUUUGAAUUAUUUAAUUUCAUUCAUUCUUUUAUUCAUUUAAUUUUUAAGGGAAAUUAAUUUAAAUAUUGGAGAAAAUUAAACCUAAGACAUUAGAGGAAACCAAAUGAACUUAUAACAACAUGACUUAGAAAUUUGAGAGAGAUACCUGACACGGAUGUUUCUUGUAAGAUAUUUAUGUUUGAAUUGUCUAUCUCUCUAGAACUAUUCUGAGUCAUAGAAAUUUUUUCCCAUGAUCUUCACUGCCUAUUUUCUAGUUGAAGAUAGACCUUUGUGUUUUACUAUUGAUUUAUUGUGUCUUAUGAAGCUUUUAUUAUAUUUGGAUGAUUUGCAUACAUUUUUAUUCCUCUCAAGCUUAGAUUUGCACAUUGGAGUCACUAUAGGAAUCUAUUCAUUUUUCAUGCUUUCACAAAGCAUCAAGACAAAUCUCCAACUAUCGUAUUCUAUUGAUUUGAUCAUAUCUUAUCCUAGACAUUGCUUUAUCUUUAGUAUUGUUUUCUAUAUGUGUGCAUGUUACAGGAUUGGAAGAUAAGUACUAUAAGAUUAUGAAAUGCAUUCCCUUAAUUUAUUUUUAAUUGAGCAUUAAUAUGUGUUAUGUAAACUCCAUUAUGAGAGUUCGGGUGGGUUUAUGUAACAAUGUUUUGUCACAACCUUAUCAAAGGGGAAGAUUGUUAGAACAUUGAGUCUUUUAUAUGUAUGUUGGCAAUUUUAUUCCUUUUAAUGUUUGGUCAUAGAAGUCAUUUUAGAUAGUGACUUUCUCUCUAUUGAAGAUCAAGGGUUGUUGUUUAUCCAACCAGGAAGUCACGGGUAUGUCUAAAAAGGUUUUACUUACGGAAAAUUUGGUUCCUAUAAGGUAUAGAGAGAAUUAGCUUAUUUUUUAACUUAAAAUAACUUACAUUUAAAUUUUUAUAAAAAGGUAGGACCACUCAAGCAGCCUAAAGUGCUCAAGCGUUGAAAAACGCUCAAGCAUUCCUCAUUGUUCAAGUUCCCUUACUGCUCAAGCGCUCGAGGUGCUCAAGCAAUCCUUCAUUGAGCUCGAGCGGUUAUGGUGAUUUUAUCGAGAUUUUUCAUGCAAAUUUGAUUAAGAGCUCUUCCAAAAUUGAAACUUUUUGGGUAACUUGCCUAUAAAUACCUCAUUAUAACCCUUUAAGGGUAAUAGAUCUUAUUUUCCUUAGAGAGGGUUUCUUUGGAAAGAAAGUCUAACAAGCCACACCAUUCUCGAUUUCUGAUUCAAAAAAUUCAAGCUUUGAAUAUUGGGUUGAAGACCUUCAUUCCUUCGGUGAGGCUGAAGUGUAUUCAUUAAAGCAAUGAGAGGUUGUUGCAUCUUGGAUGUGGAUCAAGUUGUAGGUAUGAGAGAAUAAGUCUUUAGGGUAAAAUGACGAGGUAAAUCUAUGUAAUUUGAUCUCAUAUAGUGGAUUUAGAUUAAGGGUCUUAGACCUCAAGGUUUUUUUUAUCUCCAUGGUUAGUGUGAGGAUUUUCCACAUAAAAAUCUUUUAUGCCUCAUCACUUAUAUUUUUUAUUAUCAUGUUUGCAAUGCCUAUCUUUGAUUGAAUUGAUAAUCUCUAACUACUUGUAGGGAAAAAGUUAGUUAUAACAUAUAAAUUUUUAUUUAAAUUUUAAAAUACACUCAUUCAUUCCCGCAUCUUCUCCUUCUUUGGGUGUUAUCCCAUUGGACUUUGGGGUUUUUUCAAUUUUUUUUAUUUGACUAUAUUUUGCGUUACAUGUGCAUUUUGAAUAAGUAACCUUAAUUAACAAGGAAAAAUAUGUUAACCUUUUGUUACCCUUGGUGAAGGUAAUAAUGAUCUAAAAACCCAAGCAGUAGUGUUGUUACUAACCUAAGGUAUACCAUUGGUUUCACCCACUAACACAUAAGGAAUAUUUGAGGCUAGCCACUUCUGUAAUUCUCACUAUGAAGGACACUUUUGUAACUCCCACUAUGAUAGGCAUUCUAUUAACUGUUGGGCUAGAUUGCUCUAUUCCCUAGCCCUCGAACAAAUAAGGUGCAUGCAUCUACCUUAGGCUUCUCUAGAAAGUAAUCUAAGACAAAACAUGGCUUCAAAAAACCUAUUAGAUAUUUAAUAUAGAGAGAGCUGAAAGCAUACUAUAGACCCUCCAUUUUUCCUAGUAGCACAUGUUAUUCUAUGUGUUCCCCUCCACUUCUUGUUACCUUUUAGUGUCUCAUGGUGGUCCAUUAUUACUCAUUUGAUUUACUAUUUUUGAGUCACCUUUGGAGAUUCGUUGUCGAGGUAUUUUUAUGGAAUAAUUGUAAUCUUAGUCACACCUAAGUCUAACUCAUUUAGAUGCAUUUUCUAGGUUUAGCUCACUUAAUAGAAUUUUAACUUAGUUCAUUUAGUUUCACCUUAGGUUCAGCUCGCUUAGUUACAUUUUAGCUUAAUUCAUUUAGUUCCACCUUACGUUUAACUAACUUAGUUACACUUUAACUUAAUUCACUUAGUGGCACCUUAGGUUCAACUCACUUAGUUACAUUUUAGCUUAGUUCACUUAGUGGCACCUUAGGUUCAUCUCACUUGGUGACACCUUAGCUUUAGUCUACUUAGUGACACCUUAAGUUCAACUCAUUUAGUGACACCUUAGUUUCAGCUCACUUAGUUGCACUUUAGCUUAACUCACUUAGUUGCACUUUAACUUACCUUUCUUAGUGUCAACUCACUUAGUUACACUUUAACUUAGAUCACUUAGUUGCACUUUAGCUCAACUCACUUAGUUACACUUUAGGUUUAGUUCACAUUGUUGCAUUUUAAGAAAAUUAUUAGUUGCCUUUUAGUUUAGGUACACUUUAGGAUAGUUCAUCUAGAUGUAUUUUAGGAUCUUUUUAGUUACACUUCAUGAUAGUAUUUCAUAUCACCUUGCAUGGCAUGUGCAUGAGGGUUGUUUAGGAGAAUUUGGGACGCAACCAAAGUGGAGAGGACUUUUAGGAAGGAUGUACAUGGCCACAUGAAAAGAUUAAGAAGAGAAAUCAAUGUUUGGAAAGCCUUUGGAAGAGUAUACAUGGCUAUAGAUGAGAGAAAUAAGGAAAACAUGUCUUUUUUGGAAAGUCUUGAAAAUAUAUACACAACUAGGAGGGUAUUUGGAAGAUUGGUUUUAGAGAUUGAGAGAGACUCUUAUUGUUAUACAUGACAUGAUGAGACUUGGAUGAAGAAGACUCUUUGGAGAUUAGUACACGACCAUUGGGAGGUUGUUUAGGAAAGUAAGAAGAUUUUGGGAGAUUGAGGAGAGAUUCACAUGGUUUUAGGUUACCAUUGAGACUUGGAAAGAUCACACACGACAUAGAUAGAGAGGUCUUUGGAGGAGUCCAUAGAUAGGAGGCUUUGUUAGGAUUCAUUCACACCAUAUUGAGAGUGGUGGAGGGCAUUGGAAACUUUGGAUAAGGAAAGACUCUUUUUAAGAAGUGAGAUCCAUGGUUUUGGGGAGAUUGAGAUGCCAUAGGAUUCUUUGGAGAUAGAUUUUUAAAAAAAAUAAGGAUACCAUGCUUGAUGAGAAGGAUAUUCCUGUGAUUGAGUAGGAGAAUUGAUGGGAACUCUUUAACUUAACGCCAUUGGAAAGUUUGAGAAAGGGUUGAACUCUCUUUGGAAGGGGGUGCGACAUAGAGAGUUGAAGAGUUCAUGAUAAGGAAGAGAGAAAAAGAUUAAGAGGUUUCUAUGGAAGGGUACUAGGACACCAUCUUGAGAUAGAGAAACUUGAAGAUUUUAGAGAAGCUUCUGUGGAGGAUCCACUCCAUUGAAAGAGGGACUUAGGGCUACCGACAAUUGAUAUUGAAGAAAAAAUGAGGCAUUUUGACUAGAAAAGUUGAAGUCUUGAAGAUAAAAAAAAAAGAAAAAAGACAAGACUCAGCAUAGGGAAACAAGAAAGGAAUAAGUUUGUAUCAUUUUGGAGGAUAGGUAUGUUUUUUUUUUUUUUUCAUAUUUUGAUUAUGAUAAUCUCUUCAUUUAUUUUUUUUUUUCCUUCCAUCUUGCUUAGGUAUAGGAAUUCUCUUUGUUUAGGGUGAAUAAUGAAGGCCACUUUGAUUAUUGAUGACAUAUUGAUAAAAAGUUGAUGAAUGGUUGAUUGAUCUAAUGUUAAUUGAUGUCUAUGAUAAUUGAGGUUAAGAUUGUUUUCUUUAGAAUUACUUUCACUUGAUUGAGGCUCCUUAGACAAUACAUGAUAGGUAACUAAUAGAUUCUCUAUUUGAUUUUUUAUUGUCUUUGAUCUUAUUUUUGGGUUGUUUGUUUUUGUUUUGGAUGGUUAGAUUGUUCACCUAUAGCCACAUAAUCAUCUUCAUGCAUUACACUUUUUUCAUUGUUGUUUGUGUCUGAUAUUUUAUGUGUUUAGGGUCUUUAAAAUUGUUUUUUCUUUUGUAAACCUUUUCCUAAAUAGAUCGAUCCUCUAACAUCUAUUAAAAAUUCAUCUUAGGUCACUAGGGUUAAAAAAAAUAAUCAUUUUCAAAAGACAUGCAACCAAUUUCAAUCGGUGUGCAUUUUUCCAUUGGUUUUCAAAUGAAUUUUGAUUUUGUGAUAUAUGAAUCCAAGUUCAUGGUUCUGAACAAAAUGGAAUGAUUCUUUACCUUGAUGAGCUUGCUAAUGAUCAUAUCAGGUUAAAAAUGAAUGAAUUAAAUUUGUGUAUAUUAAAUAGGGACUUGGUGAAGCCCUACAUACAUCUAACUUUGAAAAAACCUAUUGCCAGUGUUUGUUGUAUUAUUAACCACUUAAUUGAAAAAUUGGAAUCGAAUGGCUUAUUGUUUUUCUAAAAUGAAUUUCAUACUUUUAACUUAUUACUAACCUUUUAAACUUAUCAAUUAGACUUUAUUUGAUUUUAAAUCAUUUUUUAAUUGAGAGAUCUACAUUGGUUAUUAAAUAGGUCCUGUUUUGACACUAUUCUAUACACCUGCACCAAUUUUAUAAAAAUAAAUUAUUUCUUGAUUUUUUUUAAUUUUGUAUGAUAUUUUUUCCCCUUAGUCUACACGUCUUGAAGUUAAUUUUAAGAUGCUUCUUUGUUCAAAAGUUAUUCUUAAGUAGGAAAAAAAAAAUUUCCUACGCCCACUACAUUGACCCUAUUCUAUAGUCAAAGUCUAUUUGGAUUCAUUUAAAAAUUCUCCUUAUGUGAUUUAAUCAUGCUGCUAUUUUUUUGUAAUAUAGGCCUAUCGAAUACAUUGUACAAUUUUUCUCUUGAUUUUAUCGUGCUUCUAGGUUAGUCAAAUAAAUUCAUCUUUUUAUGAUACUAAAAUCUUCUUUGUUUCUGAUCUAUAUGCUUGUGAUAGAAUCUGGUAUUAAUCGGAACAUAAUUUAAUGAUUUUGCCUUCUGGGCUGUAAUCUAGACAUACAAAAGAUGUUGUCUUUUUUUUUUUUUUUUUUCAUGGUGAAAUUUCAUUUCUAGAUAUUUUUUUUAGGAUUUAUUUUUUAUGUUCCUUUGUUCUACCAUGUUGUUGAAUGUUUCGAAAAGUGAUAAUAAAUUCAAUUUAAUAUGGAAUAAUUGGUGAUUGAUUAAAUUAUUUUGACACUUGCUUUACAUUUUUAACACUUUAAAGGUGAUGAAAAUUUUUUAUUUUGAUAAAAUACCAUAUCUAAAUAUUUCAUUUUGAUUUAUUUCAUGAACACUUCAUUUUUUUCCCUAUUGCUAAGUGUUUUGUUCAUUUUAGAUAAUUCCUUUUUUCUUAUGUAUAAUUGUGAAUUCUUUUAAUCCAGAUUUAUAUUGAGAGCAUGUCACACACAUCAAGUAUGUAUCUUUUUACAUCAUUAUGUUAUUUUUUAUAUUUCAUUUGAGUAUGCUUUGUGGAUGUAUGUAUGUUAGAUUCAUUUGUUGCCUAUGCAUUAUUAUUAUUUUUUAUUUUUGAUCAAAGUUGAUUCAUGUUAUGUAUGACAUAGGAUUUUAAUAUUAUUGUUUACAUUUAUUGUUUUAUAAAAGUUUUUGACUUGUUUUUAAGGUACUCUUUCCAUUCCCUAUUUAUUUGAUUUCAUUUGAUAUGUAUGUCGUGUGUGAAUAUUUUAUUGCUAUGUUUCUAUUUGUCAACACCAUCGUCAUGUUAUUGCUCCCUUGGUAACUAUUGAUUUACAAAUUGAUUAUCAUAGUUACCUUAAUUUAAUUAGUAAAGACCUUUAUUUAGGGUUUGGAGGGGUACUAUCCUAUGGUACCUUCUCGAUAGGCAAUCUAACCUCAAAACUUAAACUUAUUUUUCAAAAACAUAUUUUUCCAAAUAAAAAGUCAUUUUUAAGGUUUUAUUUCUUAUUUUAUUUUCCCUUUAAAAAAUAAUAAAAAUAAGUAGCAAGUCCAUCUUUUUCAAAAAUUAGUUUUUCAAAUGCAUGUGAAAAAUAUGGAUCCACAUACACCUAAAUCUAGACGGUCCUAGAUCAAAUGCAUUCCAUAGAAUUUGUUAAAUAAGAAUUUAAAACCGUUGAAGACGUCAUAGAUCUCGUCUACCCAAUAGUCUUCCACCCGAUCUCUCUAAGCAUAAUAAUAGACACAAGAAUAGAAUGGUCUUUUCUUUCUUGAAAGAUGGCUAAGGUUUUCUCUUUGAAAAUUUUCUUUGGAAGAAGAUUGGUAAAAAAUGAAACCCUAACCCCUAAUAAGGGGAUAUUUAUAGGCUUCAUUAUUAGAUUAAAUGACUUAAACCCAAAUGAGACUUGGGUAACCUAAUCUAGCCCAACUUGGCCCUAAUUAAUUAAUUAGCCUCAAUAAGCUCUAAUUAAUUAAUUAGCUCAUACCAGAAAGACAAGUUAUAAGAUCUAGUGUAACAUUAUGCUUUUAUCAAAAUGCCCUUCUGCACACUUGUGAACUAGAAAACCAAAAUCUUCAAAUAAAAUGUACCUCCAUGAAAUAAAAGCUUGAAAAUGGACCACUAGGACCCACCUAAAAAUAUUAACUCCCUUAAAAUCUAAUUUUGAAGUUGAUUCAAUAUUCCAUUAAAGAGAAUCAAUUGCAAUAUGGUAUUUUAUGUAAUUACAAUGAGGCGAACCUUAGGUUCGUGCCUAAUAAUCCAUUGCAUGCAAACCCCUUUUAACUAGUGUCUGUAAUAUAACAAGGUAGUGUUAUCACCUAUUAAGAUUACCUCUCAAAUCCUUAAAUUAUAGAUCUACUUAUUACGUGAUUAAUUGACAUACUCCAACUUUAAGGAGCAAAUGUCAAAUUUCCAAUAAGGAAAUGUUAUGGGCAUAGUCUUCUAGAUCACACAUCUUUUAGAUCACCUAAGAGGACACACUAUCUCACUUUAAUGAGAUAGCAUGGUGCAUUUAUUGGGAAUUCAUGUUGCCACCAGCCUUCAUCACUAGUGACCUAAUUCAUAGGGAUAUAUGACCACAUUAAGGUCUCACCCAUAGGUCAAAGUCUCUUGUUGAUUUUGACACAAGCUUAAUAUUCUCACAAGGUUGAGAGUCUAUGCAGUAUGGUAGCUUGCUGAAUUAUGAUAACUAAUACCCAUACAUCAUGAUUCACUGUAGGUCCUGUCCAAUGUGUAACUGCACACAUUAGUACACUCACUAUGGGAAACCCAUCUUGACUGCCAAGACAAGUCAACCCUCCUAUUAGGAGGUAGUAUACUCUAGUUUGUACUAGAUUACUCAAAUCCAUGAACUGACUACAAAAACUUAUCAUCUUGUAAAGAACCCAUGACUUAUAUUCUAUGUACAUCUUCUAAUGCACCUAAAUCAUGUACAAUGUAAGUGAUAUGAGUAUGUAUGCUUAGAUAACCAAAUAAUGCAAAUAUGAUAGUAAAGUAAACAAGAAAGAUAAAUAAAUAAAUUUAUUAAUGAAUAUAAAAUAGUUACAUAAUAUCAUACUUUUCAAGACUCUAUCCCAACAUUAACUAUUUUUUUUUUAAUAUAUGCAUGUUUAUCGAAAAAUUUGAUUUAAUACUUUUAUGAAAAUAACACAAGUAAUACAAUUUUGUUUCUUUUGAUUAUAUUCAUGUUGAAAGCAUUCCCUAUUUCAUUUUUGAAAAAUAAAUGUACUUGAUCUCUACCUCAUAUUAAGCUUUCAAGCUUACUCAUUUUAUUAAAUCUUUUCAAGGACACUUGAUUCUAGGAAGAAGUAACAUGGGUAGGAAGGACUCCAGAAGUUCCUUGAUUUCUUUAGCUAUGAGGCUAGUUUGUUUGGAUACUAGUGGUUUAUUUUACUACUACUUUUAGAGAAUUAUCAAAAUUUUGAUUUAUUGAUUUUUUUUGUAUGGAAAGACAAAUUUCUAGUUAAGACUUUUUUGUUAGCUUAACUAUUACUUCGAAUAAGUUUUGGGAUUAACAUUUUGCUGAUUAAUUUUUCUUGUUAGUUCACUCUCAUGUUAAGCAUUUAUGCUUCACAUAUGAAAUGAAUGUGAUGUCCUAGCCUUCGGGUUUGGGUUGUCACACAACCCUCUCUAGUUAGACACGUAUGUAAAAAUUAAGGGUUUAAUCCUCUUCACAGUCUAUAUGGACCACCUAAUGGCUUCCUUGCAUUCCUUAAGAGCUUUUAAUAAUCUUCUCUCUCAUUAGUCCACAUGAAGUCAAACUGAAAUUGCCAUUGGUUUUCCUUCAUUCUCACUAAGAAAAACAUAUUUCAAUCCCUAUAGUAGUGGUUUCAAUUCACAUCUCUUCUCCUGGAACUUUUUAGAUUAUUCCUGCUUAAUGUUUUCUAUUUACAUGCUAUUAACAUCUAGUCCUACCUUCUUCUUCUUUCAACAAGUGUUGUCCUUCUUCAUAUCUCUCUUUUCAAUGGCAUUUAGCUAAGCUUCUUUCCUUGGAAAACUAGUUAGUACUUUAUCCUAAUGCUUCUCCAUGAGUUGAUUUGCAUGUUCUUUAAUUCAAGUGUCAAUCAAGCAUACUUCUUCAGGUUCAAACUCUUCAUGAUUAUUGUUACUUGCAUAGAUGAAAUGCAUUCAACUUCAGAGUCAUGUUCCCAAAUGACAAUUACAUGACCCCAUUCUAACAAUUGAUAAGUACAUUAGUAAUGGCUAAGAAUGUUUGUGCUAAGAUAAUUGGAACUGAAUUCACCCCUUUCCUCAAAGGUUCUAUGUCUGUAGAAUUUUUCAACUAGCACUAGCAUAUCAUCCACCACUCCUUUAGGUAUUUUGAUUUUUCUAUUAGCUAAGGAUAAAGUUAUAAACAUGGCUUUUAAUUAUUCCAAUCUUGAUUGCUAAUGAAUAGAGUAAGGUAGGAGGUUCACACUUGCGCCUAAGUCAAGAAAUGCCUUCUUCACAUAUGAAUCUCUAAUUUGCACAAAGAUAGUGAGAUAGUUUAGGUUCUUAUACUUCACCAUGACUUUGUUUUCUAUCAUUGCACUCACCUACUCUAUUAGAAAAGCCUUUUUGUUGAUGUUAAUUUUCCUUUUAACUGCGUAAGGAUCUUUUAAAAUUUUUGCACAGGUUAGCACCUAUUUGAUCAUGUUUGAGAGAGGUAUAUUUACCUUGUCUUGCAUUAGCACUUUAAGAAUAUUAGAAGUUUGUUUAUUGAUCUUAGGCUUCCUAAGUAUUGAAAGGAAAGAUAAGUAAUUCUAAAUUGUGUCUUUCCCUUAUCUUGUUGUUUUUUCUUUUAUUUCUUACUCAAUUCCUUCUCUAAAAUUUGUUGAUCUAUAUUUUAAACAAUUGAAUCUUUCUUCUAAUCAGUUUUACCAUUCUUUUUUGGUUUUUGUGUUUUCAACUCCUUCUCAAUGUAAGUACUGUUUUUACCUCUUUAUUCUUCUUAAAAUCUAUUGCUUCACAAGUAUUCCUUAGAUUUUGUUGAGAUUAGGUUGGGAAUCUCCCUUUUUCUUGAGGUAGGUUGGAAAAAAUCGGAUUCAUUGUGGCUCAGGUGUUGGAGAUGGUAUGGCUUGUCUGAAUAUUGAUCUUCCUUUCUUCCUCAUUUAUCUUCCUUCAAUCCUCAUUGAAUUAUCUUUGCUCAAAGGUGAACUGAACUUGUUGUUGAUAGAUUUAUUGAAGUAGAUUUUCCAUACUUAGAGUAGUUGAAGUUGAUUAAGGUUGUUGCACAAAUCCUUAACUUCCUUUAUGAAAAGAAAUGCUCACAAAUAGGGGUUCAUUGGAGUUGGAUUGAGUAGAGAACAGUUGUUAUCCUUGUCCUUGACUGUUGUUAAAUUGGUUUCCUUAUUGCAUAAACUAAUUUAGGGGUUGAGUUGAUGUUAUUCCCUACUAAAAUUGAUUAUUCCUUCUUUAAGACAAGUUUAGAUGGUUUCUCUACCUUGAAUUGUAUGUGUUGUUAGAGGGGAGAUUGUUGUUACUUUGCCUAAAGGCACUAAUUGCAUUGGCUUGCUUUAAGAUGUCAUUCACCUGGAGCUUUGGUGGAGCUUUUAUCCUUGGUUAUGUCUUUACUCAAUGAAUCUUCCCAACUCAUUGAUACUUCAACCAUGUAAUCUAAGAAUUGAAGGGCUUCUUUUGAAUUUUUUUUCAUAAAGUCGCCUUCUUACAUUGUUUCCUCUAGUUGCUUCAUUUGAGGAGACAUUCCUUCAUAGAAGUAACUCACCAACAUCCAAAUCUUCAAUCCAUGAUGUGGGUAAGCACCAAGCAUUACAUUGGAUCUCUUCCAACAUACAAACAAAGAUUCUUGUUCCGGUGCUUUGAAGUUGGAAAUCUUUUUCUUCAGUGCACUAUCUUGUGUGAAAGAAAUUUUUUUGAAAAAAAUAUUGAUUGAAAAUUUGUCCAACUUCCAAUACUUUAUAAAUUACGAGUGUUAAGCCAUAUCUUGGCCUGGAUCUUUAAUGUUAAAGAAAAAAGUUUUAUCCUCAUCACUUCAAUAGGCAUGUUUGCUACCUAGACUGUGAAGCAAAUUUCCUCCACAUCCAUACCCCCUUUAAAAAUAGGCAACAUUGACAUUAAUUGUGGUUUGAUCAUAACAUGCUCUUGAGGAAAAAAGAAACAUGAGGAUGUGCUGACCUAGAAAGGUUAAGAUGACCUCUCAUCGAUCUGCAAGCUUGGAAGGGUUUGGCUUGUUAAUUGUUGUUGCUUGUUUAAUCUCCUUAGCUAUCCAUACUUGCCUUAAGUUGGUUGAAUUUCUCUUUUAAGUCUACCUAAAAUGUCCUUUUUCCAAACAAAUAUAAAAAGUAAAAGGGAAAAAAAUAGAAAGAGAACUAAAGGCAAAAACAAGAGACAACAAAAUAAUUAAUGGUUAACGAAAAACAACUAUUCUAAUUAAAAAUUAAACUAAAAACUAAAAACUAAAAAGUAAUGAGUACUUAAUUGACUUAGACAAAACUCAUUAUCAAUUCCCUAGUAGUGAUGCCAUUUUCUAGAUCAAUUUUUGUCUAUUGUAUAAGUUUACUAUAGCCUAAUAACAUAGUGAUCUCGAUUAAGAAAAACUAGAGAAAAGAUCACCACAACUUGUAGUAUUUUGAGUUAUCAUUCUCAGGGAAUAAAAAAAAUUAACUAAUUUUGUCUGGAUCAAAUCAAAUAAUAACCUUUAUGAAAAAUUAUUUGAAUCAAAGAUGUGAUUUGAUUGGUAAACUGAAUUUUUAAUUGAGAAAACAAUGAUAAACAAAUUUAGGGAUUUUCAUAAAUAUGGGUUUAGACCUAGGAUUGAGAAAUAACAGAUACUACUUGAAGGAUUUUGGUUUUUCCAAGAUUGUAUCACCGAUACAAAUCAUUCUCAUAUGGAACCAUGUUUUGAAUAUUUGAAAUUCAUUCUUUGAUAGUCUUCAAUGAAUGAUUGGAUAAGAAGUUUUAAUCUUUAAAAUAUUUAAAACUCAAUAUUUAUAUGGUAAAUUUUCUUUAGUUAUUAAUCAUAUAGGAUCACACUUGGUCAACCAUUGAUAAUCUCUUAUGCACCAACGAACCCCUAACAUGCAUUCUAUGUAUCUCUAAUAGGGAUGAACUAACAAAGAAUUUAACUUGCUUAUGAAAUUUAAAGAUUAGGAACUUACUAUAAUUGAAGAAUAUGACUUUUUCUUAUCACCUGUUUUCCUCAUAUCAUCUGCCUUCAUUACUACAUCUCCAAUGAAAGGAUUUAGCUGCUCAUGAUCAUAUUACACCCUAUACACUAAAUUAAACUAAACUAUGAAUAAUUUAUUAAAAAAAUCCGAACAAUUUUAAUCAAAGUUUUUCUCACUAACUCUAUAUCGUGUACCUCCUCCUAUUCUCUCUUAUUUUCAUGUAAUAAAUAACCCUAAAAAACAUUAUUAAAUUUCCUAAAAUAUAUAAAAAUAAGAGAAAGAGACGAAUAGGGUAAGUCUCAGAGUGAAAAUUUGGAACCUGCAACACAGAAAAUUUUGAUUCCUCCAUUGUAGUGUUAGAUUGCAUUUCAACACUUGCUCAAACCUUCUUGACCUUUGAAAUGCCUCUAAGUCUUGUAUCAAAAUGUGCUCCCCUACAUCAAAUCAUAUCGACUUUCAUUUCAACAAUAGCCUAAACCUUUUGGACCCUUGGUUGUUGUAAUGGGUGAUUUCGAUACCUUAUCGUGGUGUUAGAUUGCAUCCAAUAGAGGAGGACUAGAAGCUUCACUUACAGUCAUUUAUUAGAAUAGAAUAUUUUGAUACCAUGAGGUGCUAGUAUUGAAUUAUUCAAUAAGAGCCCAAUCUAGUAUUCAAAAACCUAUUUCUAUAUAAGGAAACACAUUGGUUUUGAGUACUAAUCAACUAUUACCAUAAUAGCUUUCUCCAUGAAUUUUCAAGAACCUCUGGCAUUGGCUUUUUGGAAGGAAAGAGAAAACUAGCUGGAUACAUAAUUCAAAUAAGACGCUUAAAUAUUUUUUUUUUUCAUGGAAAAACAAAUGAAUCAUAACAAAACUGCUAUAAGAACUAGGUGCUAUGUAUAUUCUAAAAUCCACAAUCAUGGAUCUACUAGACAAUAAUUCAGUGACCCAGGCAAUUAUUCCUUUUUGGCAUCACAGGAUACUGAAGGUAAAGCGUUCUCUUCCAAACAAACUUUUUGAAUAGUUGAAUGGUAACUUAAUGAAGUGCUCAUGAGUCAAGGUUUCUCAGAUGCUCAAUUCAUCUGGAACAUUUGGAGAUAUGAUGAUAGACAAGUAGAUCAAAUCGAAAUUCUGAAUUAUUCACAAGCUGUCCAGACCCAUAUGAGAACAACUGUCAUUUAUUUGUCUUGAAAAUUCUAGGUGAGUAUUUAUGACACAGCAAUGUUUUCUUGGACCAUGCAUCAUAUUUUAGAAAUGUUGAAUGCACCUCAGCGGCAAUCAAGGUCUUCAAUUCUUUUCAAAACUGUAUCCAGGACAUAGGAAAGAGACAGAAGUAUUGACAGGCAACCAACUUCAAUAAAAUCAUUCAACAACCAAAUGGCUCAUAGUGAGUUUUCUGGCUUUGGGAGGACCAUUGUUUUCUACUUUAUAACUAUUUAUGAGCACUAUACUGUGCUUGUUCCUUCAAAAAGUAAAAUAAAGUUUAAAAAGUUAGAUUUUUUGUUGAAUGAAGGGAUGAAUUUUCUACUUGUGUUUAGUGGUAUCCAGAACUAAAUAUCUCAGCUAAGAAAUCCAAUAUCUAGCAUUAUUUGAAGUCCUCUUGCGUAGGUCAUGGGGAGUUUGCUACACCUAUGGAACAUGGUUUGGGAUAGAGGGGUUGUUGGCUGGUGUCAAGAUCUAUGAAAAUAGCUCAAUCAUCAGAAAAGCUUGUGAUUUUCUACCAUCGAUAUAGCUUGAUUCUGGUGAUUGGGGAGAGAGUUACCUUUCAUGCCAAAUCAAGGUAACAGUUAAAGCUAUCUAAGUUGACAGUGUGAUUUUAACAUCUGUUGAACCAAAAUAAAGAGUCUUCUCAAAUUUUAAUAAAUAUUAGCUAUGGAAAUAACACUUGAUGAGAAAAUGGAAUACCAAGGAUACUAAUUCAAUACUUAUCAUCACUUCACUUUUAACAUUAAAUUAGAACAGGCAGGGAUAGAACCAACUCGGCUGCAUUUUGCAGCAAAGGUGCUCAUUAAUUCCCAAAUGGAAAAAGGAGAUUUUCCACAACAGGUUAGAUAUCUUAGCUUUCAACUAAUUAUAUACCAGAAGAAGUUAGUUUCCGAAUGAGAAAUUUAUGUAAUUUGAGUAAUUUAGAGUCGUGUUUUGUUUUUUUUCAAUGAAGAAAGGCAUCGUGCCUAAACUAUACAGAUGUUACACAAAUUUUUCCUAUCAAUCUUAGUAAGUUCAAAUAUGUGGUAUCUGCUUAUGAAUUUUUAUUUUUAUUUUUUAUCUGCUGUGGGAUUACUUUUAUGAGAUUUUUAAUGUACUGAUUAAGCAUUUGUUUGCUUCCAUUACCAGAGAAAUUUCUGAAGUUUAUUUCUUGUUUAUGCUUGUAUUUUAGGCAACUUAAUAUAGAAUAACCGGGCACUAAAUCCGGUUUAUUUUUCUUAUUUCAUUCCCAUGCUAAAUGAUUAUCCUAACAGCUCAUGAUUACACUGUCAAAUUUUUAUAGCGUGAUAAUAAUUUAGAGAUACCUUUAAAUACAAAAUGGAUCAUCAUGUUCUUAUCCUAAUGAUCAUAUACUAAGCAUUAGUAUUGAUGAUUAGGUAGUUUGAUUAAGAACUCAAAUCUAGUCAGAACAAGAGGUUAGUGUGAAACCCAUCACAAAAUUCGAUUGGAUGUCAAACCUAGUCCAAGAAUUCAACUACAUAAUUAAACUACAUAAUUAGCAAGCAUCUAUCCUCAACUAAUGUGAAAACUGCAACCAUUAUCCUGGAGUGCAACAAGCAGCAACUUAAACUUUUAGUCAUAAAUACCUCAGAACCACAAAGAAGUCAGGCACAACAAUUUAGUUCUUCUUGGUUUUCUCACUGCAACCAAAAAAGACAAAUUAUUUCAGCACAGCUAAGUUCACCAUGUUGAUGUAUAUGAACAAUGGCAGCAUGCACAUCAUUAACCAUAUCAACAUUGUAAGCCAUUGGAUUGAACUCAUGAUGAAAAGAUUGAUCAUCUAGAAGAUUCAGUAAAUUCCAUUGAAGUACUGGGAUAUGAGACCUAGGGAAUGCCCAAGAAAAUUUCAAAUAUUUAAAAUGCUCAGAACAAGUCUGAAAUUCAGACACUUGUUCUCUAAAAAUUUUAACUAAAAUGUUAGAUGUUGAAGUGAAAAAAGCAACAGACUAGAAUAGGGAACCAUAACAACAGAUUAAAAAAUAUAUAAAAUAGAAAUGAAUUUAAGAUUAAAAAGAGAAACUACAUGAUGUUUUCAUUAUUUAACAGACUAGAAUAGGGUAUUAUAACAACAGCUUUAUGAAUAUUUUUUUGCUCUUCUUGAAGUUCCAUUUCCAGAAAUUACACAAACAUAACAUAUUGUUUCAAAUCCUAGCAGAGGGCAGUAUGGUGCAAGAGAUGCAAGCUGAAUUGGAGGAAGAUGAAGGAAGCGACAACUGACAAUAUGGUGGUGACAUACCAAUCUGAUGAGCCAUUUUAGUGGAUAUGCAAAGGGAAAGUCAUUGUCAAAUUGAAAGUUCAUCCUAAUACCAUUUCCCAUAGUGGGAGCCAUUGCGAUGACAAACCGAUAGGGAAAGGAAACCUGAUGUGAAUCGAUACCAAGAGUAGCCAUUGUUGAAUUUUUCAUAGCACACCCUGAAGAAGUUAGCUCUUAUCCUUUCUAUUGAACCGUUUCAAACACCACGAUCCACUAUCGAUUUGAAAACCAAAAGUGAGCAAAAUUGGCAAAUAGUAAAAGGUUUUCUAUCGAAAUGAAUGGAUCUUAGUUCAAUGUCAGCCGGGCAAUCCAAUGACAAGCUGUAAAAUCCAAAUUUAUGCAUGGAUCAAAUAAAACUUUGAUUUGGAGAGGAAUCUUAAGUGGAUUGGGACCUGUCUAAGCCAGAACAUGACAUUGAAAUUUGAAGAUGAAGAAAAGGAAUUUUGACAUCAGAACCCACAACAAAGACAAGGAUUUUGAUAGUGAAACGAAAAGGCAUGCUACGAAGCUUAAUAGAAAUAUCCAAUAACGAUUCAUAUCAGUUUAAACGGAUACUAUUUCUGAUGGCAGACUCCUUUAUAUCCUCUUUCCCAGUGGCUUCACCUCCGAUGUCAGUUUUUCAACUAAGUUAUAAGCUCUUUUUGAUUAAUUCCAUCAUUAUUGGUUUAGAAGCUAAUUGGUCUUUGACAAAGCAACUCUUAUUGCUAAGGAAACAUUAGUGUUUCAUUUUCAUUUAUAUCAGCAAUAAAAGAUACAAUCAAAUCAAUAAACCAAAAGUUGGCGCCAUAGUUGAUCAAUUUUGAAAAUUAGUAGUUGUUGAUGCAUUUUUCUUCUAUUGUCUAACCAUUUUGUAAAUAUAUUGUUGUACAUUUGUUAGUUUUAUAUUUGCUUGUUUUUGUUUUUGUUGUUUAGUUGAGCUUGGGAAAGAAUUCUUUGGUGCAUGCUGUAUUGUUGGAUCAGGAACACUAGUGGAAGACUAGAAAGUGUUCUUGUAGAGUUAAAUCCAAAUCAAACCAUGGAAGGUCCACAAGACCAAACAACCAGAAUAUACCUAUGAGUGAGCCAUUCCAGCACUUUCAGAUCCAUGAUGGACUAUUUGAAUCCGAAAAUAAUGCCAUCUCCAUCUUCCUUCAUCCCUCAAAUAGAGUAUGCCAAGGUUUGUUCCCAACUUGUACCUUUGCUAUCAAUUUUUAGAGGAUGUCAAGGAGAGAAUCCCUACACUCAUUUGAAGGAGAUUGAAGAAAUUUUUUCUACAUUAAUUUCAAGACUAGAAUGUCUCCAUGAACCUAAUGAGAAUGAAGCUUUUUUUUCCUCUAACUUUGAAAGACAAAGCAAAAACCUGGUUUAACCCAUGGGGCCAAAGAAUAUACAGAUCACCUAGAAUGAAUUUCAAGCUCUGGAGACAAGAGAAAAAUGUGUAAUGAAGAAUCAGAGAUAGCUCAAAUCCAUGCCAUAUGUGAAUCAAGGGAGCAUACAGCACAUGAAUGUCCUACCAUUCCCAUCAUCAAAGAAAUUUUGAUGAACAACUACUGUGACUGGAAUGUCAGCUAGGAUAACAUAUUCAGACAACAGAAAAAUUGUCCAUUCUCAAAUGCAAACAAUCCAAAUUGGGGGAACACCCUAUUUUAUACUGGAGUAACCUAGUCAAUUUUCAAGGGAGUUAGGAAUAUCAGGGCAGCAAAAGCAAUUUCAAUUAGUUUAAUCAAGUUUCUCCGCCUUAAUUUUAGAAUCCACCCCAUGUUCAAAAUUAACAGAGUUCUAGACCUCCAUAAACUUCUGCCUCAUUUGAAGCUUUGAUAUUUAUUGAGGAGCAGGGGAAAUGUAAUGAAGAAGUAGAAGGUCAGCUGCUGAGCAACGAAAGUGGAAUGAUGAGCAGUGCAAGUUUAAUGCAUAAAAAUCACAGGUUAUUACAAAUAUCUAGAUGACUAUGAACAAAUUGAAUCUAGAGAGUAAAUGGGGAGAAAGGGAAGUUCCCUGCUCAACCUUAUCAAAAUCUAAAGGCCAUAUGUGAAGUGAAUGGUCAAGCAUGCUUGUCAUGUGAUCAUCAAGAGGUUAAAGCAGUUGUUACCUUGUGAAGUGAGAAGGAAUUAAGAGAAGCUGAGCAAGAAAAAAAGAAUGAAUCUGAGAAGCAGGAAGUUGUCCCUGAUAAGCCUAAUUCCUCAAACAAAAUGAAGGAGAAUGAGGAGAGUAAAGAGCAAGGAAAAGUUGAUUAAUUUGUCCUUGAAUAAAGAGCAUAGUUUUAGUACCUUUUUCUCAAGCUCUAAAGGGAAAAAAGAAAAAAUAAAUACAAUAAGGUAUUGGAAGUAUUGAAACAGGUGAAAGUAAAUAUUCCUUUACUUGAAAUGGGGAAACAAGCGUUCGUUUAUGCAAAAUUUCUGGAGGACCUAUGCACGGUGAAGACAAAGAUGUCCAUAGACAAGAAAGCAUUCUUAUUGAGCAAGUUAGUGCAAUCAUAGAAUAAACUCCAGUAAAAUACAAGGACCCUAGAUGUCCUACCAUAUCUAUCACUAUUGGUGCGACACUUAUGGAAAAAACACUAUUGGAUUUCGGAGCAAGUGUUCACUUGUUACCUUAUUCUUUGUAAUCAUAAGUUGGACUUGGUGGAAAUUUGUUUCAAUAGUAGAGGAAGAUUCAUUAGAAUUUCGAAUACAAACAGAAAAACUACUUCUCUGAUUGUUCUUGAAGAUGUCAAAGGUAGAGGAUAGGGAGCCCUAAGGAAGUCGAUAUUCUUUGUGUCAAAGAGCCCUUUUUGUUCUAUCACUAGAACAGAGGAAUUGGAAGCAAAAGUGAAGAACAAAGCGGGGUUGGUAAGGUGGUCUGGGGAUAGGUCUUAUGCAAGAGUGGUUGACGAGAACGGUCCAAGGAAAUGAGUUUUCUUACCAGUUGGAAAGUGGGCUAUAACUGUGAUUUUUGAAGGCCAAGUUUUUGUUCAAGAUUGGGGUGUUAUAGGUAAGGCUCUUGCAAGAAUGAUGGGGGUUAAAGAAAUGAUUUCCAUAAACCCUUUUUCAACUUUCAAAGAUGUCUUCUUUGUGGAUUCAGUCAAAAGAGCGAAGUGGCUUCAAGCGCGAGGAAAACUGGUUUUAAGAGGAGUGGUUUUUAGAUUACGAAAAUGGUCACCAAGAGAAAAUACAAUGGUUCUUGGAAAAUUCAGGAGGGAUUGGAUAGAGUUGCAGCCCCAUUCCAUCUAUGGAAUGAAAACCAGUUACAAUUCAUUUUGAAGAAUUGGGGGAAGGUGAUAGAGGUGGAUGGAGAUACUUUACAGCUUAUAGAUUUAACAAAAGUUAAAGUGAAGGUGGAAAUGAAUCCAAACAUGGUGUUGCUGGCGUUGUUGGAGGUGAUAGAUGGUGCCUGAUUUUUUAUAAUUGCAGUCUCAAUCAUUAGAGGGGAAGAAAAAGAUGUACAGAGAAGUUGGAGUUAACUUGCUACAAAAGCGAGUCAGCUUCAAUGGGAGAUGACAUGGCGUAGGGCCCUUCACAAGCUUUGAGGACACAUAGUAAGGCUUUGAUAGUUUUGGGGAACAACUGCCACUCACUCUUUCUUGUCUCUAACACUAUUUCAAACCCCAAAUAAACCCUAAUAGUGCUUCUUCCCCGGUCAGGUGUUUGUCUCGGGAGUCAAGUCCUGCUCAAUUGGAGGAUUUCCAUAUUGAAGGCAUUUCUCCUUCAAAAAUAUCUUCCAUCAAGUCGGUUUUGGGUACUUUGAAUGUCAAAAUUUUCAAAUACAGUAAAAAUGGAGUUUAGUUGUCCAAAAGCAAUGGUUGCUUAUUGGAAAAGGUGUAUUCCAAAAGAAAGAACAUAACCUCUUUAGGCGCCCCUAGCCUUUUUUAGUUUUCUAGGUACUUUGGUGUCUUCGAGGUUUUUUCAACUUUUAUGGAAAUUAUUAGUUAGAAUAUUAAAGGUAUUAGUUCCAAAAACAAAAAAAGAGUAGUAAAGGAUUUUCUUUGUCUUGAAAAUCCAGAUGUUGUCCUGUUGCAAGAAACAAAGAGAAAGUCUUGUGAUAGGAGGUUUGUGAGUAGGGUAUGGAAGGUCAGAAACAAACAGUGGGCAAUUCUUCUAGCUAGUGAGGCUUUGGGAGGAGUGGUAAUCUUUUGGGAUGUUUUGAGGUUUAAGUGCUUGGAGGUUGUUUUAAGAUCUUGCUUUAUGACAAUCAAGUUGGAGUUAGAGGAAGAAGAGUCAUUCUGGUUUUCUUCAGUUUAUGGUCCUAGCCUGUCACACUUUAGAAAGGAUUUUUGGUUAGAGCUUCAAGAUCUUUCAGGCUUAACUUUUCCAAAAUGGUGUGUUGGUAGGGAUUUUAAUGUCAUAAGAAGAAUUUCAGAAAAGUUAGUGGGUUCCAGGUUAAUCCCAAGGAUGAAGGAUUUUAAUGAUCUUAUAAGAGUGUCAAUUAAUUGAUAUGGCUCUGAGUCAUGCAUCCUUCACUUGGUCUAAUUUGCAAGAAAACCUCAUUUGCAAAAUAUUGGACAAAGUCUUAUUUUCUAGAGAAUGGAAGCAAGAUUUCCCUCAAUGCAUCUAAGAAGCUCUCCCCAGAUUGGCGUUGGAUCAUUGUCCAAUUCUGUUAGAUAAGUGGGGGCUGACACCUUUUAGAUUUGAAAACAUGUGGUUGAUUCAUUCAAAUUUCAAGGAUAUUAUAGGUUGUUGGUGGAAUGAGUGUUGGUUUGAAGUGUGGGAAUGUCACAAAUUCAGGAAAAAGUUACAGUUUGUCAAGUCAAAAUUGAAAGAGUGGAAUAAGGGUUCUUUUGGAGACUUAAAAGGGAAAAAAAUAUUCUUGCGGACAUAGUGGGUUUAGAUGAGAAAGAACAAGAAGGGAAUUUUUCUUCGUCUAAUCUAGUAGUAAGAAAGAUGUCAAGGAAUGGGAAGUUGGAAGAUGUGUUGUUAAAGGUAUUUUAGAGAUAGAAAUCUAGAGUCAAAUGGAUAAAAGAAGGGGAUUGCAAUUCAAAAUAUUUUCAUAAGGUGACCAAUGGUAGGCGGAAUAGAACGUAUAUUAAAUCCUUGGUGACAGAAAAUGGGGUAAUCUUAAAUAACAUUGAAAACAUUUAAGAAAAGAUUAAGCAUCAUUUUGGGAAGUUAUUUCCAAGACUUUAGGUGGUUCUUGGAGUAUUGAAGUUUUGGAUUGGUCUCUUAUUUCAACAAAAAGUGUCGAGUGGUUGGAUCGUCCUUUUUUGAAAUAGGAGAUUCACAAUGUUGUGUUGAAUUUAAAUAAGGAAAUGGCCCUUAGGCCAAAUGGAUUCACAAUUUCUUUUUAUCAAGUAUGUUGGGAUGCAUGUUGAGAGACGAUUAAGGAUGAUCUUUUAAGAGUGUUCUUAGAGUUUCACAACAAUGGAAUAAUCAAUCAAAGCACGAACGCUACCUUCAUUGCUCUAGUGCCAAAAAAGAGUCAAACAAGUGAGAUCUCAAAUUAUAGACCCAUCACCUUGGUAACUAGCUUAUACAAAUUCAUAGCCAAGGUUUUUUCAGGGCAGAUGCAUAAAUUUCUCCAAGACACCAUCUUUUUAACCCAAGGUGUUUUUGUUGAGGGAAGACAAAUUUUGGAUCAUGUCUUGGUUGCUAAUAAGUUGGUGGAUGAGAAAAGGAGAUCAAGAGAGGAAGGGGUAGUCUUCAAAACUGAUUUUGAAAAGGCCUAUGAUCACGUUGAUUGAGAUUUUUUGGACCAUGUAAUUGAAAAAAAAAAGGGUUUAUAGUUCAAAAUGGAGGUCUUGGAUGAGAGGAUGCUUCUCUUCGACGACUUUUGCAAUCUUAGUAAAUGGAAACGCUAAAGAGUGGGUUAAGGCAUUCAAAGGCUUAAGAUAAGGACAUCCCCUUUCCCCUUUACUUUUCACCUUGGUAGCUGAUGUCUUAAGCAAAUUCAUUGUGAGAGCAGAGGAAAGAGGUUUAUUCAAGGGGUUUCUGGUGGGUAGAAAUAGAACCAGGGUGUCUCAUUUAUAAUUUGCGGACAACGUUAUCUUUUUUUUCUAGAGCAUCCUUUGAAGAGUUGCAUUCUCUCAAGCUAAAUUUGUUGGUGUUUAGGCAAUUAUCAAGGCUAAGGAUUAAUCUAAAUAGAGCACUAUCUCAGGAAUUAACAUUAGUCAAGACCAAAUUGCAAGGUUGGUUUCUUUGCUUGAAUGUGCAAUCUUAUAUUAGGCUUUAAUGUAUCUGGGUCUCCUUUUAGGGGGGAACCCAAAUUCGCUCUCAUUUUGGGAUCUAGUGUUGGAUAGAGUCUCUAAAAGGUGGGAUGGAUGGAAAAAAAAAAUAUUUUUGUCCUUAGAAGGUAGAAUCACCCUAAUUCAGUCUUGAAGCACAUUCCAAGUUAUUUUCUUUCCCUUUUCAAGGUUCCAACUUCAAUAGCUUUGAGGAUCAAAAAAUUACAAAGAGAAUUUCUAUGGUUAAGCUAUGAGAAGGGUAAGAGAGAUCAUUUGGUCAAUUGGGACAUGGUCUGUAAGCCUAAGGAGUCUGGCGAGUUAGGGUUUGGAAAAAUCUCUUUAAGGAACCAAGCUUUAUUAGGGAAGUGGCUUUGGAGGUACCUUAAGGAAGGUUUUUCCCUUUGGUAUCAGGUUCUCUAGAGUAUCUAUGGGACACAUGAUAAUGGAUGAGACUCCAACAAUAUAAUCAAAUGGUUACAUCGUUGCCCUUGGAAGACCAUUGCUCAUAUUUUUCAAGUCUUUUUUACACACACUCGUCUCUUAGUAGGUGAUAAGACCAGAAUUUUUUUUUAGGAAGAUCUAUGGUGGAAGGACCAACCUCUUUAUUUACAAUUUCCAAGACCUUUCAAAAUCACCACUACUAAAACUCGUCUUAUUUCAACUAUUAUGGGUAACAACACUUCAUUGUAUUGGGAUCUAGUCUUUAGAUGUCAUCCAACUGAUAAAGAGAUUAUAGAUCUUGAAAAACUAAAGUCCUUACUUUCCCUUAUUCACUUGACUCUUUUAGUUCCAAAUGCAAAAGCUUGGAUAUCAUUUUUGGGAAUUUUCUUAGUUAAAUAAAUUUUUUCAACCUUAUCCAUUGUCUCAAAUUUCGUUCCUUUCUAUCGAACUAAUUUUUUAUGGAAAUCAAAAGUCCCCUCUAAGGCCAGGGCCCUUGCUAGGUUAGUGGCACAUAAAAAGGUAAAUAUUGUUGACAUGUUGUAGUUUAGAGGACCUUUUAAAACUUCAUCCCUGAUUGGCUCAUUCUUUGUAGGAGCAACAAAUAAAUGAUUGAUCAUCUUUUCUUGUAUUGUCUUAUUACUUUAGGAUUGUGGUAUAGGAUUUUUUUCACAGGCUAGGAUGGAGUGGGUUCAACCAAGCAGUAUUUGUGAUAUGAUAGUGAUUUCUUUCAAGUGUUUUAGGAAUUCUAUUAGAGGAAAGACUCUUUGAAGGAUCGUGUGUGUCUUUCUGUUAUGGAUUUUGUGGAGAGAGAGGAAUGCUAGGAUUUUCGAGGACAUUUGGAAGACGUCAGAGACGAUGUGAGAUCAUCUUCAUUUUUAUGUUUCUUUUCGGCUUACCGUAUAGACAUUUUUAAACCACAUCCUUUGAAUGUAAUCCAACUUAGUUGGUUAUCGUUAUGUACACCUCAAGGUUAGGUCUAUAGGGUCAGGAUUGUUUUACUUGUAUUGGCCUUUUGUUCCUUUUAUAUAAACUUCCUUGGUUAGUGGAGAUUUACUUAGUUCUUUUGAUCAAGCUUGUAUUUCAUAGGGAGGAUUCCUCAUACUUCUCAUGUUUUUUUUCUCAUUUAAUACAUAUCUUUUGUUUCUGAUAAAAAAAUGGUAAUAAAAUGCAUUAAUAACCAUUAAUCUAAAGAUAAAAACCAUACAUGUGAUUUGAAUGGUCCCUGAUUUAUUCCAGUCGAUGAAAAAGUUGGUACAAAUCUAAAAAAUAAGGGAUCUUAUACCCGGUGGCUCUCUUUCCUAGAUUUAAUUAGGAGUUAGUAUACUAUAAUAAUUUAAACCUUUUUAUUACCCAUACAUGGAAUAUAAGAAGAAAAUAAGUUUGAUGAACCUAUCAUAUAGUUUGUAGCCCUUGAAUAUAUAACCAAGAAGUCUAAUUUUGUGCUUUUAAAAUGAUGGGUAACAAGGAAGAAAAUAAGUUUGAUGAACCUAUCAUGUGGUUUAUGUCCCCUUAAUAUGUAACCUAGAGGUCUAAUUUUGUGCUUCUAAAAUGAAGGGCAAUAAGGAACUUGUCUAGGCCAAAUUUGCUGAAGAUGAUGGAUUAGAAGAGAUUUUUUUUACUCAUAAACCUAUAGAAAUUCUCUACUUGCUUUUUAGUAAAGGCUGUCAAUUCAAAAAGGCUUGUAUGUGUUGCAUUUUGAGUUUUUUUCCCCCCCUAAUAAGCAAUAACUUGAAGGUUCUAAUUGUUGUAAUUAGUUGUCUUGUCAUCUCUACCUAUGAUAGAGGAUUUUUUUUUUGUUGGGAUUGGUGGGGUUACAAAAGAGUUUCCUAAUUUUUCUAAUGUAACAAACAUCUUAAACUAAAUAGAUAGUUGAAAUAGGCCAGAAAAGGCUAGCAAUGAAUACUGGAACAAGCUAGCGAUGAAAGCCAACAAUUAGAGAAGAACACCACAACAACCCUAGAACCUUAUAGAUGGUUAUAAUACCAUGAUGGAAAUUGGAAAAAAAAAAAAAAAAACCUUUUUUCUCUCUUGUGUUGAUUCAAAAGAAUUUCAUGAUAUUUAAAAACAAUAUAAUAGUUAAGGCUAGACUAUAGUCGUACAAAAAAUUAACAGAAAGAAAAAAAAAAGAAUACUAAGAAUAUUUACAGAAUACACAAGGGAAUUCUAUUGAAAGAAGAAAUCAAUCAACAACUAUAUAUAUAUAUAUAUAUAUAUAUAUAUAUAUAUAUAUUCAUUUAGAUUGUAAGACAAAUUGAUAGAACCAAAUUUAUGAUGUUAAAAAAUAAAUAAAAAUAUUAAGCACAAUAAAAGGAGAAACUUUAGCUUUAAAAUCUGGAAUACUAUUUGGUUUUCUUGAUUAUGGAAGAUUUAAACUAGUAAAACUUUGUUCAGCAUGAUCAUUAUCAUAGUAUUAUUUUUAUAUUAAGUUUGUGUUUAUGUUCACUUUUAUAUAGCUCUUUUUGUAUAAGAUAUAAGAAGUUAAGUAGCUUAUAAGUUGAACUCUAAUUGUUUAUAUAAUUAAGAUUUCUCUAAACCUUUAUUAUGAAGCAUUCUUUAAAUUUUUUUGUUUUAUUUCAUUUCAAGGGCACUAAAUUAAAGUUAUUUUUAGUUUAUGGAAGCUUAAUUAUUUAUUAUUAUAUUUAAAGUUCUAAAGUUCAAGACAUUUGGAAAAUGGGAGUCACUUCAAGUCUUAAGCUCUUUUAAAUUUACUUCAAUAGUUGAUGAACAUUAUAAAUUGAUUACUAUCGCUAAUGUUUUCAUACAUUUUGAAGUAAUUUAGUGGACAUUGUAACCCUUAAUUAGUCAAGUUUGCAUUAUCCCUCCAUGCGGGCAUUUCUCAUGGUUUUUAAGUUUUAUUUAAAACUUUGUAGGUAUUUUCCUUCAAGAUCUCAAACUAAAAUGGCUUAGGAAGAUAACUUUCACUGUUGAAAUGAUCUCAAAGAGUUUAAGAAGGCUACAUAAAGGUUUGGAAGUGACAACAAAGUAGCCAGAUAAGAGCAAGCUCACAUAACUCCUCUAUAAACCUAAUUUCAACCAAUCUGAAGUUUGCAAUUAUUUUAGGGGGAUAUAUCUGCCCAAAUUGAGUGAAAUAAAUUUUGAUAUAUUCUAGAUUCAUUGAGAAUGGAUUUACCAAUUUUCCUCAUAUUUUGAGAUCAUUUUCCUUACCACAAAAAUCACAUAAUUAAAAGUAAAAAUAAAAAAUUUUGUUGAAGGUGAAGGGAUUUAAAGCCUAAUUGGAGAAGACUCAAACAUGGUUAUAAAGGCCUAAAACAUCUUCCUACAAGAUAGGGUUUGGAGAAUAUAUAUCUAAACAUCUUUUAGCUUUUGAGAAAUGAGCUUUUUAAUACGUUUGGAGAGGGCAAUAAGGAAAAUAAAAUGAGAGAAAAUGAAUGAAAAAACACAGAUUUUCUCAUUCAACACACAUAUGAAUAUUUCCUUGAGUUUUCUUUCCUUCUUUGUUUGAAUAGAAUUAGAAACUUGAUCAUCUUUGAUCUAAGUGUCUUGUGGUGUUUUGAACUUCAAGUUUGGGUCAUCACAAAAAAGGCUUACUAUUAUAACUAAGAUAAGAACCUUUUUAGGAUUUUUUGGUUAUUAUAAACGUUUCAAAGAGGGAUUAUUUAAGAUUGCCCUACCUCUAAUUGAACUUACUUAGAAGGAAACCGAGUUUAUAUGGUCUGAUGAAUGUGGGAAUAGUUUUGAAGAGUUGAAAAAUAUAUUGAUGACUACUUCGGUAUUGACUAUCCCUUCGGGUUUAAGAGGAUAUGUUGUCUUUAGUGAUGCAUCCAACUAAGGACUUGGUUGUGUAUUAAUGCAACUUAGGAAGGUUAUUGUUUAUGCGCGGAACUAUCCUACUCAUGACUAAGAGUUUGCAACUAUGGUUUUCACCCUUAAGAUUUGGAGACAUUAUUUAUAUGGUGAAACAUGUGAGAUUUACAUAGACCAUAAAAGCAUAAAGUAUUUAUUUUCUCAAAAAGAAUUAUAUAUAUGAGAAACGAAGUGGAUUGAGCUCCUUAAGGACUACAAUUGUUCUAUCCUAUAUUAUCAUAGCAAGGUGAAUGUAGUUGUUGAUUCUUUGAGUGAUUGCACUGGACUAUGUAUAAAUAAUUUGGCAGGUAUCGAAGCUUAGAGAAGGGACCUUAUAGUGCAAGUGAGAUGGAAAAAUUAAGAGAAUGAAACAUGGGGGUGAAAAAUUCUUUCUUGACAUCUUACUCAUAACAAGAAGGUUGUUGGAAAAUGGCUUUAUGAAAAACAAGAAUUAGUUGAAACUUUUUAACUAAUGGAAACUAAUAGUUAAGGAAGGGAGAAUCCCCAAGGCCCUUUCGUUACCAUGGAAUGAUCCUUGUUAUCAAUAUCUCAACUAGAAGUGUUCACUUAUCAAUUAGAUCCCCUUUACAUAAUCCCAAAUUUUCCUAUAGAAUUAAUGAUUUGAAAAUUGUUUUCCUAGGCUUACAUAGGGUUGUUCCAAGUCAAAAUGGCUUCCCCAUUAAGUGUUUGGAAUAUCUUAUGGGUACCCUAGGCUCUAAUCUCUAAUUAGGUAUAAAAAAUUAAUGUUUUCUUAAUUCCCAAUGUCUCAACCAUUUGCUUAAUUGUGGUAUUUAGAGUUGCAUAAAGAUUUACCCAAGUAAAAAUGACUUUACCAUUAAGUACUUGGAAUACCCUAUUAAAACACUAUAAUCUCCUAUUGUCAAAUACUAAGAUAUGGUCCUUUCUAUUGAAUUAAAGGGAUUCAAUGACAAACUACUUCAAAUUAAAAACAUUUUUGAAUCUAAGGUUACAUUCCAAUGAAAGAAUGGAAAGCCCUAGGGCUCCAUUUCCUCAAACCUCAAUAAUUACUUAAUAGACUUUGGAUGGAAAUUAACUUGAAAGAUUGAAAUGAAUAAGAAAUUGAAAAUCAAAAUGAAAUUGCAAUAAUCAAGAAUAUUGAAAAGAUUCGGUGACACUGUAAAAAAAUUAAAAUAAAAAAAAUAAAUAAAAAAUAAAAAAUUAAAGACAAAGAUAGUGAUGUAAAUAAAGAACAAGAAAAUAAAAAGAACCUAAAACUAAAAGUAGUUCCAAGAUUGCCUCUUCCCAACGUUGAAUCUAAGAACCGAACAAGAACAUGUAAGAAUUUCCCCUCUAAUGGAGAAAAUCCAAACCCCAAAAGAUGGUUGCCACCAUUUCCUUUUAUAGCUUCCCCUUCAUUUAAAAGCUUUUUGGUGGGCUUAAGUGAGGGUUACAUGUUGGGCCAUGAGGAAGGCCUAGAAGUGGCAAAUUCAUAGCAAAGGGGUGCAAGGCUAUAGGUGACACCCUUAUGGCGGUCUUAUGCUAUGACAUAACUCUUCUUUUUGUAAUUGGCUUCUAAUCAAUUUAUGAGACUUGGUCAGCUUUCUGUUCAAGAAGUGAGUAAUUGAACAAAAUUGGUUUCAUCCCAAUUAGACAUUUAUAACCCCCUCAACUACUACAAGACAUUAUAUUGGUUGAAUAGGGAUAACACCUGAGAGUUGAAAACAACAUCCUUCUUUCUUGAGUUGGUUUCAUGGGCAAAGGAACUCCCAAAAUUAUGAAAUUUGGUACAUCUAACUUUAAGAAGUCAGGAAUCUAUAAAAGGUAGUUACAACUCAUUUGGACAUCUCUAGCCUCUUCAACCACUUUAAAACAUCUUUUCGAUCAAAUAGGGAUAACACCUGUGAGCUUUGUUCACCUUUCAUCCUUAUACCUAGAAUGUCCUGAGAGGAUCUCAAGGUAAUAUUUAGUCAAAGAAUAUGGUUGAAUCAUCACAAACUUACAAGAAAUAUGCGAUAACCAAACAUACAUAAGAUGACAUAUAAUAACUUACUUUAAGAGUGCUUUUAAUGCUAAAAUCAAGUUAAAGAUGUGAUCAUUACCAAUGUUUUGAAAAUGGAUUGGACCGGUUGGUUCGACUGAUUGGACUGUCGAUUAGAACUUGGUCCAAUUUGGUUCAAGCUUUGAGUUGAAAAAAAUGUUGAACCAAUUACGAACUGAGCAGAUUGACGGUUAAACCACUAGGCCAGUGAAUCGGCUGGUUUUAGGCUAGUUUUUUUUUUUCUCUUUUUCUUCCACAUAGCCAACCCACUUAGGGCAAACAUUUAAUGAGUUGGUUUUUGGGGCAUGGUACAAUCAUUACCCCAUGCAAUAAAUGAACAAUACAAAUGUCUUAUUAUCCUCAUCGACUUACAAUAUGGGACGAAUAUUGAGUUUUUUUAUUUAAAAAAACACACACACACACAUGUAGAUGAAUUGAACCAUGGACCUUGAGUACAAGGAAUGUGGUUGUGACCAUUGUGUUCCUCAUGCUUGCUAUUGAAAAAGUGCAAAUUAAAAAUAAAAUAACCAAAUUGCUUUCAAAAAAUUUAUAAUAAGAAAUAUGUAAAAAAAAAAAAAAAAAAUCCUUGCACAAUUUAAAUACAAUUUAAAAUAUUCAUACAUUUAUAAUUAUAAAAGAUGAAAAAUAAAUAUUAUUAUUAUUAUUUAAUUUUUUUAACAUAUAUUUUAAAUUUUGUAAUUAAUUUUAAUUUUAAUAAUAUAUAAAUUAUAUAUUUAUGAUGUUACCGAUUCGAUCAAGGUUUAACCACCAAUCCGAUCAUUGAACUAUGAACUAGUAACUUUUCUGGUUCAAUGACCAGUUUGAUUCUAAAAACAUUGAUCAUUACCCUAUUUUUAUAUGAAAUAUGGAAUUAAUCAUUGAGUAAAAAUUCUAGUGGUUAUUUAGUUGCCCUAUAAGGAAGACAACCUCAUUUGUUGUGUGAUUUGAAUAUAUUGAAGGCCCCGUUCACAAUUUUAGAUUUUGAAGUACUAUUGACUAGUCUUGGUAUUUAGUCAAAUCUAAUUGCGAGGAUUAAGUCAUCAUAACAGGAAAGCUGGUGCAAAUCAUGGAUGGUGUUAAAAAAGGUACUAAACUCAACUUUAACACUUUCAAAUAAUGGGAUUUUGAAUAUUAGGACUAGACUAUGUGUGCCUUAAGUUAGAAAUUUGAGAAGAGAGAUUUUAUAAGAAGCACACAACUCUAAAUUUUCAGUUCAUCCUGGUGAGACUAAGAUGCAUAUAGAUAUAAGAUAACUUUAUUUAUGACAUGGAUUAAAUCAAGAUAUUGCUCAUUUUGUAGCACAAUGUUUAACUUGACAAGUCAAAGUUGAGCAAUAGUGCCUAAUUAGGCCAUUGCAACUACUUCCCAUUCCUAAGUGGAAGUGGAAGCAUAUUGCAAUGAACUUUGUUUCUAGACCACCUAAGUCUUUACUAGAUAACAAUGUGGUUUGGGUAAUUUUGAUAGAUUGACAAAAUCAACCCACUUUUUGCUUAUUUGGACCAUGUUUUCCCUAGAUAAAUUGGUCUUUUUGUAUGCUUAGGAAAUUGUAACAUUACACGGAGUUUCAAUGUCUAUUAUUUUAGAUAGAGAUAGUUAUUUAGCUUCUAGAUUUUGGAAAAGCUCACAAAAAGCUUUGAAGACUUAGUUGAAAUAUAACACUACCUUUCAUGCUCAGAUAGAUGCUUAGUUAGAAAGGAUGGUUCAAAAUUUAGAGGAUAUUUUGCAUGUAUCUUGGAUUUGGGAGGUAGUUGGGAAAAUCAUAUACUUUUGGUAGAAAUUGCUUCUAAAAAUAGAUAUUAUACUAGUAUUAGUAUGGCACCAUAGGAGGCUUUGUAUGAUAGAAGGUGUAAGUCCCCCAUUUUUUAGGAUGAAAUUAGUAAGAGGAAAUUGUUCGGUUCAAAGCUACUUCAAGUGACUGUAGAAAAAGUUGUACAUAGGAUACAAGUCAUAGGUUCCUUGUAAGUAGAUAAGUUGUCUAUAGUUAGUUCAUGGAUUUGGGCAAUCUAGUAGAGACUAUAAUACACUACCUUCUAAUUAGAGGAAUGACUUAUCUUGGGCAUCGAAAUGGGUUUCUCAUGGUGAGUGCACUAGUGUAUGAGAUGCAAACUGGAUAGGACCUAUGGUAUGGUGAAUCAUGAUGUAAGACUAUCAAUUAUCAUUAUUCACCAAGCUACUAUAUUGCAUGACCUUUCAACCUUGAGAAGAUAUUGAGUUUAUGCCAAAAUCAGGAGAAGGCUUUAAUCAAUGGGUAAGACCCUAAAGUGGUCAUAUAUCCCUAAGGAUUGGGUCAUUGUUAAUGAAGGCUGGUGGCAAUGGUAUUCUCAAUAGGGACACCAUGAUAUCUCAUGAGUUUGAGAAAACUUGUCCCAUUGGUUGAUCCAAAAGACAUGUGAUUAUGAAAUUUGUGGCUGCAAUAAUUCCUUCAGUGGAAUUUGACAUAUUCCUUUUUAAGCUAUGUCAGUUGAUAAUAUAAUAAAGAAGAUCGAUAAAUCAAUGAUUGGAAAGGCAAUUUUCAUAGUGAUAACACUACCUUGUUAUAUUACGGUCACUAGUUCAUGGGGAGUCUGCAUGGAGUGGAUAGUAACUCACAGACCUGAACUUCAUCUCAUUGUUAUUUACAUAAGGUACUAGGGUGUACUGACUCUCUAUAUUAGGAUGUUGAAUCAAUUUCAGAAUUGGAUUCUAAGGGAGCCAGUACUCCUAUGGCUCUAAUUGUCGAUGUUUUGAGCUCAAAUAUCAUGACAGUAGGGUUUAUGAAGGUUGGAUUGGCUCUAGGUUCACUCAUGUGUAUAAGGGUGUUUUGGUAAUUACACAAGAUUGCAUAAGGGAUGGUAAACAAUGUCUCUAAAUUGGGCUAAUUGAUUAAUUAGAUGACCUUGUAUGGUUAAUUAAUCAAUUAGGACUUGUUUUAGGCUAGAUUAUGUGACCCAAGCCCAUGUGGGCUCAAGUCACUUAAGUCUAGUAAUAUAACCAUAUAAAUACUCCUUAAGGGUUAGGGUUAGGGUUUCCAUGGCUUUAGACAGUCAUCUUCCACCUCGAGAGAGAAAUAAAGAGAGAGUCAAAUCUUUCUUCCUUCCAAAACCCAUCAUUUGGAGUGUCAAGGUCAUGAUAGGAGUCAUUGGACAGAAAACUUUGGGUAUACGAGACCUCCACAAACUACAAGCUUCUUUUUCAUCGACUUUGAUUCAACCUAGGAACAUCCAAAUCCUGGUACAAGUCUCUUAGUCUAUAGAUUUUCAGUUUUUAAUGUUUUUUUAAGCCAUUGUUUUCCAUUAUGUUAGAUCUAGAGAACCUUAGUGAUAAAUGCAUGUACCCUACGAGAUCCAGGGCCUAGGAGUAGAGUAAUCAAGGGUUCCCAAUAACAAAGCCCUAGGGUAGGUUAUUGCAUGCUAGAUCUAUUCUAGGAUAUGCUCACAUAUGUUUUAUAGGGUUGUUUUAUUCAUCCCAGAUCCCUAGGGAUAAAUGAAUGAAAUUCACUUUUAUUUGUUCAAUUAAAUGAAUGAAUAUAGAUGGAUACGAUAUCUGCAUUUUGAUUCUCUAAGUUGGGUUAUACACCCCAUAAGGGGUAUAAGAUUUUUAUUUUAUUAUAAAAAAAAAUUGUUUUUUCAAUAGAUGGGUUGUGAGCUCCAUUAUUGGAGCAUAGGAAUUUUUUAUUAUUGUAAUUUUUUUUAAUUCAUCUAUGGUGACUCAAGAGAAAAGAAAGAUUCUUGAAGUUUCUUUUUUAAGAUCCUAUCGUAACUAAAGAAAAAAUAAAGAUUCUUAGAAGUUCUUGUUUUGAGAUCCAUGCCAACAUAUUAAUAUUAACUUUGAAUCAAAAUUGGUGUUGUUUCCCAUAAGUUUCUUGGGGCAAACCACUUAUGGUUUUGAAGCUUAGGAAGUUAGAAAUUUAACGCUUCAAAUGGUUUGUAAAUCAGAGUUGAGACGAGAGAGAUAUGAUCGAUUGAAGCAAAAUUGGGCAAAGAACAUGUUGUUUCGGGAUUGCAUUUAGGCCAAAUUGGUUUUAGUCGUUUGGGCUUGAUUGGGCCUUUUUAGGGGCUCAUUUUUUGUUAGCAAUUGGGCUUUUUAGGGUGUUUUAAUUUUUACAAACCCUAAUAUUUGGUUGUAGUGCUAUUUUGGUAGUUUGGAUUUUACCCAAUUGUUAAUUACCAAAUAUGUAACAGGAUCUUUAAAGAACAUGAGAAAUAUUUAUUUAAUUAUUUCCUUGUUUUUAUUGAAUGUUAUCUUUAUUAAUUGCAUAUAUGACCUUAAGCUAUUUUGGUAUUUUUAAUUAGAAAUAGAUUUUCAUGAAUUUUUCAAAAUUAGAAAACUUAUUUAAAUUGGAAUGUGCCUGGUUUGAAAAUUUUAUUUUAAGAAAAGAUAAGUUGGAAAAUGAUUAAGAGCUUUCUUUCCUUUUUUAAAAAUUAAUUUUUAGAGAUUUUAAUUUUAUUUAAAAUCUUCUCAAAUUUUUGAGAUAUCUAAGAAUAUAUAUAUAUAUAUAUAUAUAUAUAUAUAUAUUUUAAGAAAAAGCUUUUGAUUUUCCAAAUAUUUAUAAAAUAACAUUUUUCCUAUUUUGCAUAAGAUUUCAUUUUAAAGAAAAUAAGUUAAUUUUGAAAAUUUAUGAUAAAUAAUUCAUAAUUAAGAAAGUUACCAAAAUAAGUGUUAAAACCUAAAGAAAAAUGUUUGGUAUUCUUAUUAAAUUUUCAUGAGAAAAUUUUUCCAAAAUUAUUUAUUUAAACAAGUAGUUGUUAAUAAGAAAAAUAGGAGAAAGUUCAGUUUGAAUAUAGAUAGUUCGUCGUGGGCGCUUUGGUGAAUGCACUAUAAGGCUAGGGUAUGCGCAUUUCCUAACAACAAUUACUUUUAGGAGAGUUGGUAGCGUUUGAGGUCUUACAAGUGGUAAUAGAGCCGAGGUCAUGGGUUCAAACCCCAAAGGUGUCAUUGGGUGGGGGAGAGAGAGAGAGAGAGAGAGAUUGUUGGCAAAUCGAAGGAUUGACAACAUUCAUCAACUCCCAUUAUGUUCGUCGUGGGUGCUUAGGUGAGUGCACUAUAAGGCUAGGGUAUACGUCUUUCCUAACAAUAAUUGCUUUUAGGAAAGUUGGUAGCGCCUAAGGUCUUACAAUUGGCUUCUCAUUACUUCCCAUAUUCUUUUGGAGAUAUGUCUUAAAGACUAUGUAAUACCUCUUUUUUCUUAAGAGAUAUACCAGUUUAUAGGAUAUUUAAGAGAAUUUUUGAGUUAUUACCUUUAUAGUUAGGAUCAUCAUAAGAUAUUUGUUAGUAAAAAUUUCAAAUUUCUAAUGAAGGCUCUAUGAUAAGGAAUAAGACAAAAAGUGAUAUAUAUAUAUAUAUAUAUAUAUAUAUAUAUAUAUAUAUAUAUAUAUAUAUAUAUAUAUAUAUAUAUAUAUAUAUAUAUAUAUAUAUAUUGGGAGAUAUAUAAAAAGAUAGACCCAUUUUUGCGCUAGAUAGUGUGGAUCUAAAGGGAGAGAGACAUACCAUUCGUGUGAUUUCUAGAACACCUGUAUCUUAUCAUAGUGGGAGGUUUAUAUCCUAUGGAUUAUGAAGAAAUAGAGAGUGACUUUUGUAUAUAUUCGUGGGAGGGAGAUAUGAAGCAGUGGAUAGAAUCUGUGAAUUCUCACAUUAUUNNNNNNNNNNNNNNNNNNNNNNNNNNNNNNNNNNNNNNNNNNNNNNNNNNNNNNNNNNNNNNNNNNNNNNNNNNNNNNNNNNNNNNNNNNNNNNNNNNNNUCGAUGGAUUGACUACAUUCAUCAACUCACAUUAUGUUCGUGGUGGGUGGUUGGGUGAGUGCACUAUAAGGCUAGGGUAUACGUCUUUCCUAACAAUAAUAGCGAUUAGGAAAGUAGGUAGCGCCUAAGGUCUUUCAUUUGGCUUCUCAUUACUUUCCAUAUUCUUUUGGAGAUAUGUCUUAAAGACUAUGUAAUACCUCUUUUUUCUUAAGAGAUAUACCAGUUUAUAGGAUAUCUAAGAGAAUUUCUGAGUUAUUACCUAUAUAGUUAGGAUCAUAAUUAUAUAUAUAUAUAUAUAUAUAUAUAUAUAUAUAUAUAUAUAUAUAUAUAUAUAUAUAUAUAUAUAUAUAUAUAUAUAUAUAUAUAUAUAUUGGGGGAUACAUUAAAAGAUAGUCCCAUUUUUGCACUAGAUAUUGUGGAUCUAAAGGGUUAGAGACAUACCAUUCAUGUGAUUUCUAGAACACCAGUACCUUAUCAUAGUGGAAGGUUUAAAUCCUAUGGAUUAUGAUGAAGUAGUGAGUGACUUUUGUAUUUAUUCUUGGCAAGGAGUUAUGAAGCAAUGGUUAGAAUCUUUGAAUUCUAACAUUAUUUAGGUUCCUAUAGAAGCACCUAAAGGGAUAGAACCUAUAGGUGUAAGUUGGUCUACAAGAGGAAUCAAAGAGUAGAUGGAAAACUUGAAUUUUAUGUGGCUAGUUUGUAGCUAAAGGCUAUAGUUUGAAAUUUUGUUUCAACUAUAUAAAACCACUUCAACAAUAGUCAUACUCAAAUCCAUCAAAUUACCUUUAUCCAUUGCAGUGCAUCUCAUUUAUGAGAUAUAAUAACCAUACAUUUUCACAACAAAGGCCUUGUGCGUACAAGAAGGUGCAGGGAAGCAUGAUGGUGCUCUUAGAUCUUAUAGGUAGAUGAUAAUCUAUUUGUUGGGAAUAAUGUAGGGAUAUUGUCAUCAAUUAAGAUUUGGUUGUCAACUCAGUUCUAGAUGAAAAUUUAGAAAUGGCAUAAUAUAUUCUUGGGUUUAAGGCCUUUCAGGAUUGCAAGAAUAGGAAAAUUGAGCUAUGUCUCCUACAUUGAAAAGCAUUUGGUCAAGUGCAUGAUAUAGGACUCCAAGCCUAGGUUUGGAUUUGCCUUUCUCACGAUCAGUGCCCUUGUAUAUCUAAGGAGAAAAAUUACAUUAAGGUAGCAUCCUAUGCCUUUGUUAUGGGUAACCUCAUGUAUGCAAUGCUAUGUGUUAGAUCAAACAUUUGCUUUGAUGUAGGAAUGGUGAGUAGACAUUAGUAUGAUCUAGGAUUAAAGUUUUGGGUGGAUUUCAAACAUAUACUCAAGUAUCUUUGGAGAACAAAGGGUUAUAUUCUUAUGAGUCUUUGCGAUGAGUUGGUACUCGUUAGGUAUCAAGAAUUAGACUUUUAGCUUGAUGAGGACUCUUGCAAGUCUAUCUCUAGGUAUGCGUAUACUCUACAUGGUUUUUGUUGCUUUUGAAGCAAAAAAGAAAAUUGUUUGACUUAGCGUAGUUCUUUUGGUUGCAUCAUUUAAGAUUAUGUUUUUUAUAAUAGGAGGAUGGUGGCAUAGUCUAAAGAACCAAGGUACCAUUAGAAGAGAAAACACAUAUAAAUGAAGUACUAUUUGCUUUGUGAGAUAGUUAAGAGAAGUGAUGUGACUGUGGAACAUUUUUUUUUUGUGGCAUCUAGUAUAUUUUUAGGGCUAAUGGAAGUUUUUUUGGAUCGAUCUCCUAAAAAUAAGACAUAAUGUAAAAAAAGUCAGACUUAAUUAUCCUCUUGUUAUUCAUUUUAUGCAUUGACAUUGAUUUAAACAUUCAGCCCAUAUCUCUUACAUUAUACGUGACUUGGGUACAUUAGGAGUUAGACAAAGGAUAUAAGUCAUAAGUUUCAUGUAAGUAGAUAAGUUGUCCAUAGUUAGUUCAUGGAUUUGGGCAAUCCAGUUAAGACUGUAGUGCACUACAUCCUAAUUGGAAGGAUGACUUAUCUUAGUCAUUGGAAUAGGUUUCCCAUGGUGAGUGCACUAAUGUAUAACAUACACACUGGACAGGGCCUACAAUGAAUCUAUUAGGAUAAAACCUUUAAAAACAUGACAUGAUGUAAUAAACUCUUGGAUUUUAUUUGUUUAAUAAAGUUUUAAUUCAUUUUUAUCUAUCCUAUUUCUAUGCAUUAUAUCUUGUAAGCACUUUAGCCAGCAUCUUUUGCAUUGUAUGUGACUUAGGUGCAUUAGGAGUUGCACAUAAUAUCCAAGUCAUAAGGUUCCUUGCAAAUAGAUGACUUGUUCAUAGUUGAUUCAUGGAUUUAAACAAUCUAUUAGAGGCUAUAGUACACUACCUUCUAAUUGGAGGGAUGACUAGUUAUGGCUAUCGAGAUGGGUUUUCCAUGGUGAGUGUACUAAUAUGUAUGGUUACACAUUGGAUAGAACCUACGAUGAGUCAUGACUUAAGGUUAUCUAGUAGUCACAACCUCACCAAGUUGUUUCAUUAUGUUGCAUCUCAACCUUGAGAGAAUAUUGAGCUUGUGUUGAAACUAAUAGUGGCUUUUACCUAAGAGUAAGAUUGUAAGCUAAUCAUAUAUUCCCUAUGGAUUGGGUCACUGUUGAUGAAAACAAAACUAAUAAAUUCCUUGAUAAAAAUGGGAGUUAAUAAUUUUUUGAAUUAUUUAAUUUCAUUCAUUCUGUUAUUCAUUUGAUUCUUCAAGGAAAUUAAUUUAAAUAUUGGAGAAAAUUAAACCUAAGACAUUAGAGGAAACCAAAUGAACUUAUGACAACAUGACUUAGAAAUUUGAGAGAGAUACCUGACGCAGAUGUUUCUUGCAAGAUAUUUAUGUUUGAAUUGUCUAUCUCUCUUGAACUAUUCUGAGUCAUAAAAGCUUCUUUCCAUGAUCUUCACUGCCUAUUUUCUAGUUGAAGAUAGACCUUUGUGUUUUACUGUUGAUUUAUUGUGUCUUAUGAAGCUUCUAUUAUAUUUGGUUGAUUUGCAUACAUUUGUAGUCCUCUCAAGCUUAGAUUUGCACAUUGGCGUCACUACAGGAAUUUGUUCAUUUUUCAUGCUUUCACAAUGCAUCAAGACAAAUCUCAAACUAUCUUAUUCUAUUGAUUUGAUCAUAUCUUAUCCUACACAUUGCUUUAUCUUUAGUAUUGUUUUCUAUAUGUGUGCAUGUUACAAGAUUGGAAGAUAAGUACUAUAAGAUUGUGAAAUGCAUUCCCUUAAUUUAUUUUUAAUUGAGCAUUAAUAUGUGCUAUGUAAACUCCAUUAUGAGAGUUCAGGUGGGUUUAUGUAACAAUGUUUUGUCACAAAAUUAUCAUAGGGGGAGAUUGUUAGAACCUUGAGUCUUUUAUAUGUAUGUUGGUAAUUUUAUUGCUUUUAAUGUUUUGCCAAAGAACUCCUUUUAGAUAGUGACUUGCUCUCUAUCGAAAAUCAAUGGUUGUUGUUUAUCUAACUAGGAAGUCACAGCUAUGUCUAAAAAGGUUUGACUUACGGCAAAUUAGGCUCCUAUAAGGUAUAGAGAGAAUUAGUUUGCUUUUUAACUUAAAAUAACUUCCAUUAAAGUUUUUAUAAAAAGACAGGACUACUCAAGCGGCCUGAAGUGCUCAAGAGUUAAAAAGUGGUCAAGCAUUCCUAUCACUCAAGCUCCCUUACUACUCAAGCGCUCGAGGUGCUCAAGCAGUCCUUCAUUGAGCUUGAGCAGUUAUGUUGUUCUUACCAAGAUUUUUGAAUCUUGGGUUGAAGACCUUCAUCCCUUCAGUGAGGCUUAAAUGUAUUCAUUAAAGCAAUGAGAGGUUGUUGCAUCUUGGAUGUGGAUCAAGUUAUAGGUAUUAGAGAGUAAGUCUUUAGGGCAAAAUGGCGAGGUAAAUCUAUGUAAUUUGAUCUCAUAUAGUGGAUUUAGAUUAAGGGUCUUAGACCUCAUUGUUUUU